GGAGAUAUAGCUCAGUGGUAAAGCACUUGCCUAGCAAGCACAAGGCCCUGGGUUCAGUACCCAGCUCCA
rnacentral:tRNA from 1 species